rnacentral:rRNA from 1 species
UAGGGAAUAUUGGGCAAUGGACGCAAGUCUGACCCAGCCAUGCCGCGUGGAGGAAGACGGCGCUCAGCGUUGUAAACUCCUUUUAUCAGGGAAGAACAGCAGAGAUGCGUUUCUGUGUGACGGUACCUGAAGAAUAAGCACCGGCUAACUCCGUGCCAGCAGCCGCGGUAAUACGGAGGGUGCAAGCGUUGUCCGGCUUUAUUGGGUUUAAAGGGUGCGUAGGUGGGUUAUCAAGUCCGAUUUGAAAGCGUGUCGCUUAACGAUACGAUGUGGUUGGAAACUGGUAGUCUUGAAUGGGGUAGAGGUAGCCGGAAUGGGUCAUGUGCGGUGAAAUGCAUAGAUAUGACCCAGAACCCCAAUGGCGAAGGCAGCCUACUACGGGGUGAUUGACACUGAGGCACGAGAGCAUGGGGAGCAAACA